rnacentral:rRNA from 1 species
GCUCUUCCGAUCUCGCAGGGUGAGUCGGCCCCUAAGGCGAGGCAGAAAUGCGUAGCUGAUGGGAAACAGGUUAAUAUUCCUGUACUUCUUAUAACUGCGAUGGAGAGACGGAGAAGGCUAUGCCUACCGGGCGUUGGUUGUCCCGGGGAAAGGCUGUAGGCUGAGGUGUUAGGCAAAUCCGGCACCUUAAGGCUGAGAGUCGAGACCACUGGUCCUUUGUGACCGGGAAGUGGUUGAUGCCAUGCUUCCAGGAAAAUCUUCUAAGCUUCAGGUUAUAAGGAACCGUACCCCAAACCGACACAGGUGGUUGGGAUGAGUAUUCUAAGGCGCUUGAGAGAACUCGGGUGAAGGAACUAGGCAAAGUGGUACCGUAACUUCGGGAGAAGGUACGCCGCUGACGGUGAUGAGACUUGCUCUCUGAGCUAUCGGCGGUCGCAGUGAAAAGGCCCCUGCAACUGUUUAUUAAAAACACAGCACUCUGCAAACGCGUAAGCGGACGUAUAGGGUGUGACGCCUGCCCGGUGCCGGAAGGUUAAUUGAUGGGGUUAGCUUCGGCGAAGCUCUUGAUCGAAGCCCCGGUAAACGGCGGCCGUAACUAUAACGGUCCUAAGGUAGCGAAAUUCCUUGUCGGGUAAGUUCCGACCUGCACGAAUGGCGUAAUGAUGGGGGCGCUGUCUCCACCCGAGACUCAGUGAAAUCGAAAUCGCAGUGAAGAUGCUGUGUACCCGCGGCUAGACGGAAAGACCCCGUGAACCUUUACUAUAGCUUCACAGUGGACUUUGAACCUGUUUGUGUAGGAUAGCUGGGAGACUUUGAAGCAGUGACGCUAGUCAUUGUGGAGUCGUCCUUGAAAUACCAGCCUGGCAUGUUUGAGGUUCUAACCUAGGUCCCUUAUCGGGAUCGGGGACAUUGUGUGGUGGGUAGUUUGACUGGGGCGGUCUCCUCCCAAAGAGUAACGGAGGAGCACAAAGGUACCCUCAGCACGGUCGGACAUCGUGCAACGAGCGUAAAGGUAGAAGGGUGCUUGACUGCGAGACCUACAAGUCGAGCAGGUGCGAAAGCAGGUCUUAGUGAUCCGGUGGUUCUGUAUGGAAGGGCCAUCGCUCAACGGAUAAAAGGUACU